AGCGAACGCUGGCGGCAGGCCUAACACAUGCAAGUCGAACGGACCCUUCGGGGUUAGUGGCGGACGGGUGAGUAACACGUGGGAACGUGCCCUUUGGUUCGGAACAACUCAGGGAAACUUGAGCUAAUACCGAAUGUGCCCUUUGGGGGAAGGAUUUAUCGCCAUUGGAGCGGCCCGCGUCUGAUUAGCUAGUUGGUGAGGUAAAGGCUCACCAAGGCGACGAUCAGUAGCUGGUCUGAGAGGAUGAUCAGCCACAUUGGGACUGAGACACGGCCCAAACUCCUACGGGAGGCAGCAGUGGGGAAUCUUGCGCAAUGGGCGAAAGCCUGACGCAGCCAUGCCGCGUGAAUGAUGAAGGUCUUAGGAUUGUAAAAUUCUUUCACCGGGGACGAUAAUGACGGUACCCGGAGAAGAAGCCCCGGCUAACUUCGUGCCAGCCGCCGCCGUAAUAC
rnacentral:rRNA from 1 species